rnacentral:rRNA from 1 species
GACGAACGCUGGCGGCGUGCUUAACACAUGCAAGUCGAACGGAAAGGCCCUGCUUUUGUGGGGUGCUCGAGUGGCGAACGGGUGAGUAACACGUGAGUAACCUGCCCUUGACUUUGGGAUAACUUCAGGAAACUGGGGCUAAUACCGGAUAGGAGCUCCUGCUGCAUGGUGGGGGUUGGAAAGUUUCGGCGGUUGGGGAUGGACUCGCGGCUUAUCAGCUUGUUGGUGGGGUAGUGGCUUACCAAGGCUUUGACGGGUAGCCGGCCUGAGAGGGUGACCGGCAACAUUGGAACUGAGUUACGGCCCGGACCCCUACGGGGGGCAGCGGUGGGGAUUAUUGCACAAUGGGCGGAGGCCUGAGGCGGCACCGCCGGGUGCGGGAUGCCGGCCUUCGGGUUGUAACCGCUUUCGCCUGUGACGAAGCGUGAGUGACGGUAAUGGGUAAAGAAGCACCGGCUAACUACGUG